rnacentral:rRNA from 1 species
CCUACGGGUGGCAGCAGUGGGGAAUAUUGGACAAUGGGGGCAACCCUGAUCCAGCCAUGCCGCGUGUGUGAAGAAGGCCCUCGGGUUGUAAAGCACUUUCAGUGAGGAAGAACGCCUGGUGGUUAAUACCCAUCAGGAAAGACAUCACUCACAGAAGAAGCACCGGCUAACUCCGUGCCAGCAGCCGCGGUAAUACGGAGGGUGCGAGCGUUAAUCGGAAUUACUGGGCGUAAAGCGCGCGUAGGUGGCUUGAUAAGCCGGUUGUGAAAGCCCCGGGCUCAACCUGGGAACGGCAUCCGGAACUGUCAAGCUAGAGUGCAGGAGAGGAAGGUAGAAUUCCCGGUGUAGCGGUGAAAUGCGUAGAGAUCGGGAGGAAUACCAGUGGCGAAGGCGGCCUUCUGGACUGACACUGACACUGAGGUGCGAAAGCGUGGGUAGCAAACAGGAUUAGAUACCCCCGUAGUC